rnacentral:rRNA from 1 species
CCUACGGGUGGCAGCAGUCGAGAAUCAUUCACAAUGGGGGAAACCCUGAUGGUGCGACGCCGCGUGGGGGAAUGAAGGUCUUCGGAUUGUAAACCCCUGUCAUGUGGGAGCAAAUUAAAAAGAUAGUACCACAAGAGGAAGAGACGGCUAACUCUGUGCCAGCAGCCGCGGCAAUACAGAGGUCUCAAGCGGUGUUCGGAAUCAAUGGGCGUAAGGGGUGCGGAGGCGGGUUCGUAAGUCGUGUGUGAAAGACGCGGGGUCAACCCGCGUACAGCACAUGAUACUGCGAGACUAGAGUAAUGGAGGGGGAACCGGAAUUCUCGGUGUAGCAGUGAAAUGCGUAGAUAUC